UGAAAAGAGAAAAAGAAAAACACUUUUGAUAGUAGGGUCCCCCUUUUUCUUUUUUUUUAAUUUUUCUUUGAAUAAUAAAAGGCUUUAGUGACAGGCGUAUAUUUUUGUGCACAAGAGUGUCAACCAUACAUUUCAUAUCAUGAUUUUUUCACCGGCUGAGGGAAGAUAACAAACAAACAAAAAUGCUCUCCCAACGAGGGCCUCCAGAAUAUGGCUCGUGUGUAUG
rnacentral:ribozyme from 1 species